UACAGAGGGUGCGAGCGUUGUCCGGAAUCACUGGGCGUAAAGGGCGCGUAGGCGGCUUGAUAAGCGUGCGGUGAAAGCCCGGGGCUCAACCCCGGGUCGGCCGUGCGAACUGGCGAGCUGGAGCACUGUAGAGGCAGGUGGAAUUCCGGGUGUAGCGGUGGAAUGCGUAGAGAUCCGGAAGAACACCGGUGGCGAAGGCGGCCUGCUGGGCAGUGGCUGACGCUGAGGCGCGACAGCGUGGGGAGCAAACAGG
rnacentral:rRNA from 1 species